GGAAACAUGCAGUUCAGGUAAUUGAAAUAUUUUUGAUUUAAUGUUAAAUGUUUGGCAAACCAUAGCAAACUUUUUAAAAUCAUGUUCUUUAAUUCUACUCUGCAGAAAUGGAUCAGUCAUCAAUAUCAUGCAAUCUGAGUUUUCAAAGGGGAAUAACACUCCUACUAGCGCUGAAGUAGAGGAGGUUUUAGUGACUGCUUCUCAAAAUGUCACUGGCUUUGACAUUGAAACGAGCUCCAUCAUUGUCAAUUCCAUCCUUACUGUGGAAUCAACAAUACCUUCAACAACGACACUAUUAAGUACCUCUGCUGCUACCAUGACAUCAAUUAUUCCUACAACAACGUCACAAGAAAUUUUAUCAACAAAUCCACUUGAAACAUCAAGUCCAACAUCAUCAAUUACUUCUGAAGAAUCCAUAACAACUACAUCAAAUCCUUCACUGAGCACAACUCUAGCAACAUUUACAACAUCUGGUCAAGCUCCAAGUAAAGCAGAAACUACAACAGGAGCACAAGAAACUUUGACAUCUCUUUUGACAGCAACCACAUCAAAAACCACACCAAUUACUUUAACUAACCCAACAGCGGAAACUACAACAUUUGAAAGAACAACACCAUUUAGUUCAACAUUUGUUGGACAGACCACAACAGCUCCAUUGACUGCAACAACUCCUCAAACAACAGCCAGAGUUUCUGAAACAACAGAUACAACAUCGUUCACUCUUGAUUUAACAGCUGAGACAACAUCUGUGAUAACAACUGAUGCUUUAACCACUACUGCUUUUUUGACAUUACCUCCUCAAACAACAACAGGAAGACCUUCAACAAUUGCUUCAACAACUGCACUACUAAGUACACCUGCUGCUACCAUGACGUCAACAAAAAAUCCUACAACGCCACAAGAAACUUUAUCAACAAAUCCAGUUGAAACAUUAGGUCCAACAACAUCUUUGUUAUCAACAUCAUCAAUUACUUCUGAAGAAUCCAUAACAACUACAACAAAUCCUUCACUGAGCACAACUCUAGCAACAUUUACAACAUCUGGUCCAGCUGCAACUACAGCAGAAACUACAACAGGAGCAGAAGAAACUUUGACAACUCUUUUGACAGCAACCACAUCAAAAACCACACCAAUUACUUUAACUAACCCAACAGCGGAAACUACAACAUUUGAAAAAACAACACCAUUUAGUUCAACAUUUGUUGGGGAGACCACAACAGCUCCAUUGACUGCAACAACUCCUCAAACAACAGCCAGAGUUUCUGAAACAACAGAUACAACAUCGUUCACUCUUGAUUUAACAGCUGAGACAACAUCUGUGAUAACAACUGAUGCUUUAACCACUACUGCUUUUUUGACAUUACCUCCUCAAACAACAACAGGAAGACCUUCAACAAUUGCUUCAACAACUGCACUACUAAGUACACCUGCUGCUACCAUGACGUCAACAAAAAAUCCUACAACGCCACAAGAAACUUUAUCAACAAAUCCAGUUGAAACAUUAGGUCCAACAACAUCUUUGUUAUCAACAUCAUCAAUUACUUCUGAAGAAUCCAUAACAACUACAACAAAUCCUUCACUGAGCACAACUCUAGCAACAUUUACAACAUCUGGUCCAGCUGCAACUACAGCAGAAACUACAACAGGAGCAGAAGAAACUUUGACAACUCUUUUGACAGCAACCACAUCAAAAACCACACCAAUUACUUUAACUAACCCAACAGCGGAAACUACAACAUUUGAAAAAACAACACCAUUUAGUUCAACAUUUGUUGGGGAGACCACAACAGCUCCAUUGACUGCAACAACUCCUCAAACAACAGCCAGAGUUUCUGAAACAACAGAAACAACAUCGUCAACUCUUGAUCUAACAGCUGAGACAACAUCUGUGAUAACAACUGAUGCUUUAACCACUACUGCUUCUUUGACAUCACCUCCUCAAACAACAACAGGAAGACCUUCAACAAUUGCUUCAACAACUGCACUACUAAGUACACCUGCUGCUACCAUGACGUCAACAAAAAAUCCUACAACAACGCCACAAGAAACUUUAUCAACAAAUCCAGUUGAAACAUUAGGUCCAACAACAUCUGUGUUAUCAACAUCAUCAAUUACUUUUGAAGAAUCCAUAACAACUACAACAAAUCCUCCACUGAGCACAACUCUAGCAACAUUUACAACAUCUGGUCCAGCUGCAACUACAGCAGAAACUACAACAGGAGCAGAAGAAACUUUGACAACUCUUUUGACAGCAACCACAUCAAAAACCACACCAAUUACUUUAACUAACCCAACAGCGGAAACUACAACAUUUGAAAAAACAACACCAUUUAGUUCAACAUUUGUUGGGGAGACCACAACAGCUCCAUUGACUGCAACAACUCCUCAAACAACAGCCAGAGUUUCUGAAACAACAGAAACAACAUCGUCAACUCUUGAUCUAACAGCUGAGACAACAUCUGUGAUAACAACUGAUGCUUUAACCACUACUGCUUCUUUGACAUCACCUCCUCAAACAACAACAGGAAGACCUUCAACAAUUGCUUCAACAACUGCACUACUAAGUACACCUGCUGCUACCAUGACGUCAACAAAAAAUCCUACAACAACGCCACAAGAAACUUUAUCAACAAAUCCAGUUGAAACAUUAGGUCCAACAACAUCUGUGUUAUCAACAUCAUCAAUUACUUUUGAAGAAUCCAUAACAACUACAACAAAUCCUUCACUGAGCACAACUCUAGCAACAUUUACAACAUCUGGUCAAGCUCCAAGUAAAGCAGAAACUACAACAGGAGCACAAGAAACUUUGACAUCUCUUUUGACAGCAACCACAUCAAAAACCACACCAAUUACUUUAACUAACCCAACAGCGGAAACUACAACAUUUGAAAGAACACCAUUUAGUUCAACAUUUGUUGGACAGACCACAACAGCUCCACUGACUGCAACAACUCCUGAAACAACAGCCAGAGUUUCUGAAACAACAGAUACAACAUCGUUCACUCUUGAUCUAACAGCUGAGACAACAUCUGUGAUAACAACUGAUGCUUUAACCACUACUGCUUUUUUGACAUUACCUCCUCAAACAACAACAGGAAGACCUUCAACAAUUGCUUCAACAACUGCACUACUAAGUACACCUGCUGCUAUCAUGACGUCAACAAAAAAUCCUACAACAACGCCACAAGAAACUUUAUCAACAAAUCCAGUUGAAACAUUAGGUCCAACAACAUCUUUGUUAUCAACAUCAUCAAUUGCUUCUGAAGGAUCUAUAACAACUACAACAAAUCCGUCACUGAGCACAACUCUAGCAACAUUUACAACAUCUGCUCCAGCUGCAACUACAGCAGAAACUACAACAGGAGCAGAAGAAACUUUGACAACUCUUUUGACAGCAACCACAUCAAAAACCACAUUAAUUACUUUAACUAACCCAACAGCGGAAACUACAAUAUUUGAAAUAUCAACAACACCGCUUAGUUCAACAUUUGUUGUGGAGACCACAACAGCUCCAUUGACUACAACAACUCCUCAAACAACAGCCGGAUUUUCUGAAACAACACAUACGGCCUCGCCAACUCUUGAUCUCACUGCUGAUACAACAUCUGGAACAACUGCCGCCUUAAAAACAACUGCUUCUUCUACAUUAUCUCCUCAAACAACCAGUUUACCUUCAACGACUGCACUGCUGAGUACACCUGCUGCUACCAUGAAAUCAACAAUUAUUCCUACAACAACAUCACAAGAAAUUUUAUCAACAAAUCCAAUUGAAACAUUAAGUCCAUCAACAUCAUCAACUACUUCUGAAGAAUCCAGAACAACAACCACAAAUCCUUCGCUGAGCACAACUCUAAUGACAUUUACAACAUUUGGUUCAGCUUCAAGUACAGCAGAAACUACAACAGGAGCACAAGAAACUUUGACAACACUUUUGACAACAACCACAUCAAAACCUACACCAAUAACUUCAGCCAACCCAACAGCAGAAACUACAAUAAUUGAAAGAACAACACCACUUAGUUCAACAUUUGUUGGGGAGACCACAACAGCUCCAUUGACUGCAACAACACAUAUACCCUCGCCAACUCUUGAUCUCACAGCUGAUACAACAUCUGGAACAACUGCCGCCUUAAAAACCACUGCUUCUUCUACAUUAUCUCCUCAAACAACCAGUUUACCUUCAACAACUGCACUGCUGAGUACACCUGCUGCUACCAUGAAAUCAACAAUUAUUCCUACAACAACGUCAAAACAAACAUAUACCACAUCUGCUGUUACAACAAAUGCAGUGGUAAAAACUACACUUCCGCUUACAACAAUUAAAGAUGUAUUACCGUCCACAGAGGCAACAACUAAAGAGGGAACUUCAGCUUCUAAUUUGACAACAGAAAAUAUUUCUACAUUGAUUCCUGUGACACAAAGACCCACAGCUGCUGGAAUAACCACAGGGACAGGUUCACCUGCUGGAACAGCAAACCCUGUACCUGCAACUGCCAUUACAACAACUUCUUCAACAAAUAACAUAAUCUACCGCGUAACAUUUAGGUCUGUUCAAAACACUUUUACAAAUGACCUUUUGGAUCCAUCAUCUGCUGCGUAUCAAGCUCGAGUUAAAAUGAUCACCUCACAGGUAAGUUUGUUUGUCAACAGAGAAAGUCUAAAUAUAACUGAUGUUUCAAAAUGAACAAGUUCAGAAUUAACUUGUAUCAACAUUUGUGCCUCUGACCCACUACAAUUAAAACUGUUUAAACAUGACGUUUCUGAAAAAAAUCUGAAAAACAUGGGAAAAAACACAUUUUGAAAUCUAACAAAAUACAUAUGAAACUCUGAAAAACACGUGUGAAAAUCAAGAAAAAAACACGUGAAAAUCUAAAAAACGUAAGAUAAUCCAAAAAAUACGUGAAAAUCUGAAAAACCUGUGAAAAUUGUGAAUAUAUAUAAGUAUCUUAUGUUUCACACACACACACACACACACUCACACCCACCCGCCCACUCUGUAAAACGGAAUAUACUUCAAAUGUUUAUGUCUAAACUAAUGAUAUCUUUUUUCGCCUAUUUUUAGUUGGAAUAUUAUUUCCGACAGUUAUUUGCUGCUACCUUCAUUGCAUUAGAAAACAUACAGUUCAGGUAACUGAAAUAUUUUUUUUUAUUUAAUGUUAAAUGUUAGGCAAACCAUAGCAAACUUUUUAAAAUUAUGUUCUUUGCUUCUAAUUUGCAGAAGUGGAUCAGUCAUCAACAUCAUUCACUCUCGGUUUUUAAACGGGAAUAACACUCCUAAUAGCACUGAAGUAGCGAAAGUUUUGGUGGCUGCUUCUACAAACGUGACUGGCUUUGACAUUGAAACAAGCUCCAUCACCAUCAAUUCCACCGUUACUGGAGGAUGUAUGUCUUUUUUAACACUAUUUUUCCCAAUAUGAUCUACUUAAUGUGAGGAUUUCGUGAUAAACUAACUUUAAUUGUUUGUGUUUUUUCUUCAUUUACAGCAUCAAGUCAAGCAAACCACAUGAUGAGCCUAAUUAACACAUGUUUCUUGGUUCUGCUGUCAAUCUUAUUAAUAAGCCUACAAACACAGCUGUGUUGAUACAAUGGCACUAAUCGGCUUGAGAAAGCACUUGUAAAAAGCUGUUGUGUAUGUACUCGCAUUGAUUUGAAUCAACAUUGGUAAGAUAAUCAUGAUGGUGAUU
ensembl:lncRNA